rnacentral:piRNA from 1 species
UAGCCACAACCAGCAAUAUUUUGGGAGUC